GAGUUUGAUUAUGGCUCAGGAUGAACGCUAGCGAUAGGCUUAACACAUGCAAGUCGAGGGGCAGCGAGGGUAGCAAUACCUGUCGGCGACCGGCGCACGGGUGAGUAACGCGUAUGUAACCUGCCCGCAACAGGGGGAUAACCCGGCGAAAGUCGGACUAAUACCGCAUAAAACAGGGGUCCCGCAUGGGAAUAUUUGUUAAAGAUUUAUCGGUUGCGGAUGGGCAUGCAUACCAUUAGGUGGUUGGUGAGGUAACGGCUCACCAAGCCUUCGAUGGUUAGGGGUUCUGAGAGGAAGGUCCCCCACACUGGUACUGAGACACGGACCAGACUCCUACGGGAGGCAGCAGUGAGGAAUAUUGGUCAAUGGGCGAGAGCCUGAACCAGCCAAGUCGCGUGAAGGAUGACUGCCCUAUGGGUUGUAAACUUCUUUUACAAGGGAAUAAAAUGAGAUACGUGUAUUUUAUUGCAUGUACCCUUGGGAAUAAGCAUCGGUA
rnacentral:rRNA from 1 species